GUCCUGUGCUGCCCAGAUCUAGGAUUUCCUUUUAGACUGGAAGUAUUCAUUCCUCAGCUGGUGGAAGGGUUGGUAGGUAACAGCUCUCAUCUAAGCCCUUCUCCCUGUAAUUAUCUUCCAAUGAAGGCAGGCACUUCAUCCAAGGUACUCCACACACACACCCACCCCCCUUUGUGUGUGUGUGUGUGUGUGUGUGUGUGUAUACCAGGGAUUGAAUGAAUCCAGAGGGGCUUAAACAAGCCACAUCCUCAGCCUUUUUUUAUUCUUUAUUUUGAGACAACUGCUGGAAUUACAGGUGUGCGCCUCUGUGCCCAGCUAAAUUACUCUCUCUUCUCAGGGGCAGCCCACAUUUUAUGAUUGUUCAACAUUCCCAAUUUGGGUAUAGCUCUUCAGGGCCAUCCCAGUUCCAGAGAAACUCACAGAAUCAGAAGCAUUCUAUGUGAGGGUGUCAUAGUCAAACUUCUCUCUGCUCAAUCCUGCUCUUCACAUGACAACCCCAUCCUCAAUGGACCUCCUGCAUUUUAAUCUCUACUGCAGAGUUUACUUCCCAGGAAACCCAGCUUGUGACUCUUGGUGGCAUGUGUGGUACAAGAAAGCAACCACUACAGGUGAGUCAUCUAUCAAUGGGUUGGAAAUACGGACCCAUUGUGAAUGGUUGGUGGACGGGGAUAAAGCUAGUCACACAGUAGGAGUACCAUUGUUAACACUAUGAUGUCCUGUAACCUUCUUUGGAAGGUAAUGCACAGGCCAGGGUAGGGAAUCAAAUUUGAACAGCGGGAAGGAAUUAGUAAUUAUAAAAUCUAUGGGCCAGGUGUGGUGCCACACACCUAUAUUCCCAAUGCCUUAAGAGGCUGAGGUAGGAGACAGCAAGUUCAAGGCCAGUCUUACAGUCUUAGCAAUUAAGUGAGGCUCUAAACAACUUAGAACUUGUCUAAAAAAAGAAAAAAAGAAAAAGGGCAGGGAUGUGACUCAGUGAUUAAGAUUCCCUGGGUUCAAUUGCCAGUACCUAAAAUAAAUAAAGACUAUGGAAUCAGAUGUGUGUUGGUGUGGACAAAAGGUGCUAGAGAAAGACAAGGGAAAGCUGAGGAUUGAGGAUGAUUAAUUGGUAAUUAACUUAUCCAAACAUAAAAACCAGAGGGCUUCCUGGGCACAGUACAUGUGACUGCUCCCAUCUAAGCCCUCACAUAGUACUUCUCCUAUAGCUGGAGGAUAGAUAAAGAAGAUCAUGUUCAGCAUAAAAAGCAUAAAAACAGCAAAUCUCCAGCUAAGGUUGACUCCUAAAGAAGAAAACUAAAGAAGAAAGAGCUAAAGAAUAAAGAGAUUAUAUCCUAAAGGAGUUGCAGGACCUGGUCAGUAUGUUCUAAAAAGGCUCAGAACAUUCAUGGUACUAGAUUCCUAGAUUAUGGCAUCAUGGAGAACAUACAAUUUAGUAAGGAAGAAUUUAUUAACAUGGGAGUAUUCUCCUGAGAUAUUGUAUUUAACACUUUGGCAUUGACUCCAGGAUACUUCUAAGAUGGCUCUUACACACUUGGGCCCACACUAAAUGAGAAGUAAAUGCCAGAAUUUCUGGUGCAGACAGUGGAAAGAGGAAUCAAACAUCCCACAGAAAGGGGUGUACUUGAGUAAUGUGUUAUGUAAGGCUGGAAAACCCAUCAGAUGACUAUUUUCCAUGGUAGUGAGAUGAGGAUUUAGGGUAAAGAGAGAGAAAUACUGAAUCUUACAGGAAACACCCACAAGCCAUUGAGAUGUAGAAAGCAUAAUUAUAAAUCUUGAAGAAUACGCCCUUGUCCCAUGGCCUUGGCCCAUGCCCUUGUAAAACAAGGGAAACAUGAAAGCACAGGGAAAACAGAUACAAAAUUGUGCAGUUUCACUCUGGAUCCACCUCUAGUCUGGCCCCUGAUACAGCCCUUCUAUAAAUAUUGGACCCCCAGCCCAAGUCAGGGCUGCUUCUCACUCUCGAGACAGCCUGCAUUUUCCCUUGACAGCCUGCAUUUUCCCUUGACAGCCUGCAUUUUCCCUUGAAUGUGUAUCUACCUUCCUAAAUAAAUUUUGUCUAUGCCUUUGUCUGGCUCAUGCUGAAAUUCUUUUCUGACAUGUAUGCCAAAAAUCCUGCCGGUCCUAAAUUGAGUUCCCCUUCUUCUCUGGGGACUCCUUGGACCCUUCUCCCAUGACAACACCACUAUUCAUGACUUUCAGGAUGUUUGGUCCACUAAGGGGAUUCUAUGAACAAUGACAUUGGAAUAAAGGACACUUGGUAGCAAUGAGGUGUGGCAGUGCUACAUGACUAUGGCAUCAUUUUGCCCUGUCUCAUUCCAAACCAUGAAGAUUAGAGCAAUGAAAUGGCUUAUUCAGGUGACAGUGAAAGGCCAACUCAGAAGUGAAUACUCCCCAAGUCAACAAUUAUUAUACAGUUUAGCGUCCCUAAUAGGUAAGACGCUUAGUUCUGAGAAGCAAAGGGGUAGAAGAAGUAGGAGUGGCCCUGCUCACUUGCACUCCCAGGAACCCACUCACAAAUUUUUUUGCUUUCUGUCCCCAUACUUAUGAAACCUUCAAGUUUAGAGAUCUUGGCUCUAAAGAAAAGGAUGUUCUACCUGGGCAUAUAACAAGAAUUUCAUUUCAUUCAAUUUAAAUGCUCAGUCAUUUAAAGUUCUUUAUGCCAAGAAAUCAGCAGGUGUGAAAAGAAGUUGCUGGUCUGAAGGAGUAAUUGACCCUGGUCAUCUGCAAGAUGUAGGACUAUUGUUAUAAAAUGGGUGUUUCUCUCCAGGGCUGAAAAUGCCCCAGUGUACUGUUUAUUGGUCUCAAAGAAAGAACCAGGAGAGUCAACAGAGAGGUAUUUAUUAUUCACACAGAUGGUGGUAGGCUGAGAUACACCAACAAGCAUGGGGAAUAUGUUGGAUAGAUUGCAUGCCCACCUGCACAGGUGGAGUUCUUCGGAUUGAUGAGUACAUUCUCUUACUUACAAACACAAUCCCUCGGUUUUGAUCUUUAACUAAAAAUUGGAGAUAAGUAGCCAGCUUCCCCUCUUUAUUUCCUUCAUUAUCACAUUCCUUAGAGUCCUUCCUACCUCAUUGCAAGCUUUCCUAGGCACUGAUAGUGUUCACUGCCAGUAAUGGGAAGAAUCCAUUUGAUCUCAGGUAACUUACUUGGUAUUUCAUUGCAGAAGCCAGAGCCUAGAAGAGCUCAGACCUGUAGGGCAUAAGAGUCUGGGUCAUCCCACUUCAGGAAGUCAAAAGUGCUAUCUAAGGGUGAGGGCUGAUUGCCUAGUAUUUGUAAGGCCCUUGGUUCAAUCCCCAGCACUACACAAAAAAAUAAAUUAACUAACUCUUUUUCAACUGAAUUAAUAAAGUUUAAUAAAUAAGAGUGAGGGGACUGUAUGGAUAGCAGAAGAUGGAGAUUAGGAGUAUUAGUAUUACACGGGGUCUCAAGAACAGUUGCAGACUGUCGUUUUUGCCAUUGACUUUCUCCUUAUACAUACCCCCAAGGGAAGGUACACACCAGGCUGGAGAAAGCCAAUUAACUCACAAUUAUUCCAGUUUCACUGGCUAGCUCAGUUUCAGAGCUCUUUGUGGGGUUGUUGUGGGAUUUCAAUUCCUCCCUCCACCCACUUUGACUUUCAUUACUUCCCCCAGAGGGGCCAAUCCUGGAGGUGCUCCUUAAAAAUUUUCUUGCAUUAAAAAAUCAGUAUUUCUAAGGGAAUCCCCUCCCUCUUUCUCCAAAAAAAAAAAAGUAACAGUUUUUAAUUGUAUCUCUGAAGGGGAGAAAGUACAAUUUUCUCUAAACCCCAUAAAUUCCUAGUCAGGACAGAUUGGUACAACAAAAGACAGAUUAACAAGAGAAAAACAAGCAAGUUCAUUAACAUAUGCAAGGCACACCACACCUGAGACAGCAACUCAAGGCAAUAUUAAAGAUCUGCCUUAAAUAUUAUUUUUAACAAAAAAUGAUACAUUUUAGAGAGGUGAUAAGAAAGGAAAGCAGUCCCAAGUUUCAGAGAUGGGAAAACUAUGGAAUGAUAAAUUUAGGGUAAGAAAGUUUGCUCAUAGAUUCCUGUGGUAUUGCCAUCUCUGAGCUGGUAAAGCUCAGAGAUGUAAAGAAGAAUUCAUAUCCUGUCUUUAGGUUGGAAAGUAGAGAGGAGAGUAAAAAGACCUUUUUUCAUGUGACUAUCUCUUUUGCUCUCAGCCAGAAAAAUGGCAGAGUUCCUGCGUUUUGAUUUUUUUUUCUUUUUUGUGGGAGUACUGAAAGUGAAGUUAGGGGUUCUCUACAACUGAGCUAUGUCCCCAGCCCCCCCUUUUUUGGAAAGAAUACCUUUAUUUUAUUUAUUUUUAUGUGGUGCUGAGGAUCAAACCCAGUGCCUCACACAUGCUAGGUGAGCACUCCACCACUGAGCCACAACCCCAGGCCUCCAGACCUUUUUUAUUUUUUAUUUUGAGAUAAGGUUUCACUAAGUUUCUGAGGCUGGCCUUGAAUUUGUGAUCCUCCUGAAUCAGCCUCCUGGGAUUAGGGGUAUGUGCCACCAUAUCUGACUUCCCCCAUAUUUUGAUUGUCUUCAGCUUACCUUUAUAUUUUGGGGAGAAAUAUUUUGGUUUCCUUCACUUCCUUAAUACAUCCAUUUAUUUUAUUUUUUCUGUUUCUCCCUCUUCUCUGUCUCUGUUUCUCUCUCUCUCUCUCUCUCUCUCUCUCUCUCUCCUCACACACACACACACACACACACACACACCCUUUUUUGCUCUCUUUCUCUCAUCUUUGUGUGCAUGUACUUUUAUACUUACUUUUUAAGUUAACACUAUGGUCUUAAAAUACUAUUUUCAUAAAUUAUUACAUCAUCUUCAUGAUUACAUUUUUGUUUCAGUAUAACAUUCCUGUCAAUUAGUGAAGCAUAGCUUUUUUUAAAAAACAUUUAUUUUUUAGAAAUAGUUGGACACAAUACCUUUAUUUUAUUUAUUUAUUUAUAUGGUGCUGAGGAUCGAAUCCAGGGCCUCACACAUGCCCGAGGAACGCUCUACCACUGAGCCACAACCCCAGCCCAAAGGAUAGCUUUUAAAAACCAUUCUAUUAGCCAGACACAGUGACAUAGGCCUGAAAUCUUAGUUACACAGGAGGCAGGAAGAUCACAAGUUCAAGUUCAGCCAGGACAACUUAGUGAAACUUGGUUUCAAAAUAAAAAUAAAAAUGGCUAGGAAUGUAGCUCAGUGGAAGAGAAUCACUGAGUUCAAUGUUUAGUACUUAAAACAAUAAAUAAAUUAAUUAACAAAAACAGAACUAUUCUUCUAUUAUUGUUGGAUGUUUAGGUUUAUUUUUAAUAUAGAGUCUCUCUUAUAUAGAAUUAUCAUUUUUCUGCAGAUAACUCUUUUUCAACUGAAUUAAUCCCUUACGUCAAUUCUGAGUAGUAAGAUCAAGUGAAUGUGUAUGGACAUUUUUACAUCUCUUGAUACCUAUUAUCAAAUUGUUUUUCAAAAAAAAAAUGAUAGCAAUAUAUGCUGCUAGAUCCAGGAGCAUUUCGGCACAAUGUCUCUAGCAUUAGAAAUUAUUAACACAGAAUUUGCUGGUGGUUUAAUAAAUGCAAGAUAAUACCUCAUUAUUGCAUUACUUUGUAGUUUUUUUCUGUAAAUUCCGGUUGAAGUUGUUUUUUUUUUUUCUUUUUUUUCAGUACUGGGGAUUAAACCCAGGUGUGCUCUACCACUGUACAAUCCCAGCACUUUUUUUUUUUUAGUUGUUGAUAGACCUUUACUUUAUUUAUUUAUAUGCAGUGCUGAGAACUGAACCCAGCGCCUCACACAUGCCAGAGAAGUGCACUACCGCUGAGCCCCAGCCCCAACCCCAGCACUUUUUAAUUUUUAUUUUGAGACAGGGUCUUGCUAAGUUGCCCAGGCUGGCCUUGAACUUGAGAUCCUCCUGCCUUGGCCUCUGGAGUUGUAGGGAUUGCAGGUGUGUGUGCCUCUGAGCUCUGGCUUUGGUUGAAAUUGUAAUGUUAAUUGUUAUUCAAAAUUUCUCCUGUGUCAGAGUUCCUUGAAAUAAUGACAUUUUAUAAAUUGGAAGGCAUUCUCUUACCAUUAUCACUAAUUGGAAGUGAACUGAAAGCAUCUCUGAAUAAAAUUCAAGUAGAAUCAAUUCAAUGGUAUACUGGAAAGAACACCAGACUGGGAGUCUGUGGCCUCUAGUUCUGGCCAAGUCAGUCGCCACCUAUGUCUUGAGAAUGAUUUAGACCACUAAAAAUUUAAGAGAUCUCAAAGUAGGUCAGAUUAUUUUGAUUCCGUUUUUAGAAAACAAGUUUGAAAGUGACAGAAACCAAAGAUAGAGCCUGUCAAAAGGACUUCAGUCCCCCUUCAUGCCCUACAGAAUGUUACCAUAGUAGCUGGAGGUAGACAGCUCACUUCUCCUCUCUUCCCAGAGUGUGGCGUCUUUUCCUCUCCCAUCUAGAGCAUGGAGAUGACCAGCACGGUUCACUUAGUCCUUGGCAAAGGGUGUUAAGUGAAAAAGAAGAGGUGUCAGGUAUCUGAAGCAGAUCUUCGGUUGGCAGAACUCUGAAGUAGGCCAAAGUGAGAUGGAGUUCUGACCUAAAAAAAUAUUUAGGAGAAAUAGGCUAGUUAACAUUGGUGCCAGACGACAGUCUCAAGCCUUAGGCUCUAAGUCCAGCAGAUGCACACUCACUCAGACCUCGGUGAUCAGGUCAGGGACCGAGGCAGGCUUGUUCUGGGGUGGAGCUGAUGGCUGGUUGAAGAGAGGGUCAUAGGGAGAAGUUGCAGUUCUCACCAGGGCCAAGAUGAUGCAAAGGAUCAGGCAAAUGAUGAGAAGAGUUGGGAUGUCAGUCUUGGUCCUCAUCAGGCUCUCCAGCAUGAAGGCAUCAGUGUCAGCUGGCUGAAUGUCUGUUAUUUGCUCCAUCAUUUACACUAAAUUUUGAGGCUUUGUACCCCCCUUUCAAUCCCUAUCAGCUGCCACCAGAUUUCUCAGUGAUAUCAUUUGCCCUGGGGUUAAAGCAUCUGGUCUGGUGGUCCCCACCCUGAUUUUCUUGCCUCUCCCCCUUAUUGGGGCGAGGGCAACCUAACAGAGACUUUACUCUGAGCUUUUCAGGGUGGGGAGGAGUGACUUGUUUAUGUCAGGGCUAUGCCUGAUGAUCAUAUUGGAGGGCUCCAUAAGCAUGCCUGGUGAGACUGCAGGUUUCAAAGUGGAGUUUUUAAAACGGAGUUGCUUAGGCUAAGGCCUAAGUCCAUCCUUACAACCACUGACAUCCCAAGCCUGGAACUCUGUAAUUUAAUGAGGGAGACAGUUAUUAAAAUAAUUGUAACUACAAAAUGUAAUUAUAACUAUAAGACUGUGGUAGGUCUGGGGAUAUAGCUCAGUGUUAGAAUGUUUGUCUGGUAUGCAUGAGGCUCUGAGUUUAAUCCCCAGUAUCAGAAAAAAAAAGACUGUUAUAAAUAUGGCUUAUUGUGAAUCAUAUGUUUUAGAGUUUUAGCAUUUUAAAAUAUUUUGUACUCAAUUGAAGCAAAAUUAAGAAGUUAGAAGCCUAAAAAUUAAAAAAGAGGCAAAAAUAUCAUUACUUGAAAUUGAUAUAGUGGCUUACCCAAAAGCUGUAAGAAAAUUAGCUACAAAACUAUUAGUAAGAGAAUGCAGUAAAGUGGUUGUAAGUGAAUAUACAGAAAUAAUUUAUGCAAACAAUGAGUUAGAAAUAUAUAGAAAAUACUCCACUUACAAAAAAAACUUUAAAAAGAUAAAAUACCUACAUAGGAACUUAACUGAAAAUGCAUAACACUUACAUAAAGAAAAUUUUAGAACACCAGUCAGCAACACAAAAUUUGAGCAAAUGAAAAAUCAAAGCAUUUUCUUGGAGAGGGUGAUGAGCCAUCAUCAUAAAGAUGUCUGCUGUUUCCACAUUAAUCUAUAAUUGCUUCAAUCAUUCCCUCUUAAUUUAACUAGCAAGCAAAUCUAAAGUUUAUAUAGAAAAAUAAAGCAAGUAAGAAAGACCAGGAAUAUGUUCAAGUUAAUGACAAGGGGCUAGCCUUCACAUAUGUUAAAACAUAAGACUAUAUUUAAAAAAAAAAAAAAGAGUUCUGGAGGUCAAACCCAAGGUCUCAUGCAUGAUGCUAGCUAGGCAAGUCUCCAGCCCCAGCUACAAUUUUAAACUCAGUACUGUAUUCUAAUGACUUGUAAAUAAAUAGAUCAUUGGAGAAUGCAGACUCUACGAAUGGACUCAAAUACACAUGGAAUUUUGUAUAGAAUAAAAGUGGCAAAGAGGCAUAUGAGUCAAUAUGUAAUAUUAGGAAGACAGUGCAGUAGGGGCUGUGGUGUACCAUCCAUACCCUCUUCAAGACCAGGGCACUGAUUCCCUUUGCUGCCAGUAGUGUUGUUUGCUUAACUUAUAAGAAGAGAAAUGCAAUUAAAAUCACACUGGAAUAACACCUAUCAGCUUAGCAAAGAUGACAAAGGUUUAAUUUCAAAAGGGCCAAUGAAAGUCUAAGGAAUCACAUUUACAUGGCCACUGCAUGAAAGAAAAAAUCGGUUCUAAGUUAUAAGAGCAUUUGCCUUUGGCCCAGAAAUUCUAUUCCCAGGAAUUUAUUCUAUAUAAAUACUGUAGUUCUGACAUAUCACAAAGUUAUUGAUUGCAAUAUCUUUUAUAUUAAUAAAAGUUUGGAAAUAAUCUGAAAUUCCAACAGUGAAGAAUUUGUUAUGACUAUUUCAAAAGGAAAACAAGCUUUGGACUGAAGGAAUAAGUGUCAAGGGAUUUGUGGAGUUCCACCCUUCAGGUGGCACCUGAAACUCUAAGAAGUUUCACCGUGAAUUUGGGUAAACGGAUGAGUCUAGUGCUCUGAAAUAUGGGUGAUCACUCCUUGGUUCAGGGAAUUGGAGUCCUCCGUGUUCUGCAAAGGAACUAAGGGGUGGAGAAAGAAAUACAGAAACUUUAUAUAGUUAAGGCUGGAAAGGCUGCCAGAUCAUUAAUUCUGAAGAGAGUUCCAGGGAUCUAGACAAAGACAUGCACACAAAUAUUUUAUGCUGAUGGCUUCACAAUUUGAUACACUUAUUAAAAAAAUUAUUGAAAUGGAUGAAUUACAUGACCUGCACAAUGCCUUAAUAAACUCAUUUUUCAUAAGUUCCUGUGCAAGAUGCUAUCUAUUCCUGUAGCUGUGGAACCUCUCUAGUGAGGCUUUGUUGGUGGCCCUUUCCUUACUCUCCUCAUUGAUCCUUUGCUUUUUGCCAGCUAGAAUCAUCCUUAGCAAAGACUGAUGGAUCAGAGAAAGGGUCAGGGAAGUGGGCAGUCCUUUCAGAAAACCAAGAAUGAUGUACUCUCCUGCUCUAGAAGGAGAAAACAGGAAAGAGCAGAGUUAGUGCAGGGUGGCCUGAGCCACAGGUUAGUGCAGGAGGGCAAUCUCCAGGAUUUUAAAGGAAGACCCUCCCUCUGCCAGCUCUGGACUGGAGCAGUGCAUGACAAGCUUGAUGGUCAGGAGAGGAAGUGUAAACCCAAAGUGAGGUCUGGUCUCCUACCAGAUAAGCAAGGAAGUAGAUUCUGUGUCAAGGGGAUAGUGAAGUUUCUGGUCUGGAUUGGUCUUCUUCCUAGUGCCUUGGAUAGGGUGGGCUGAGCAGCUCAGGUCCUGAGCUUGCAGACACAAGGCCACUCUAGACAGCACUGCUAAGGAUAAAUACCAUCUAGGAUAUAGAAACAAAGAGUGCAGCAGGAGGGUCGCACAGAGGCCUUUGAGAUAGUGCUUAGUUUGAUUUCAUCAUUAUGUGGCUGCUACAGUGAGGUUCUAGUAAGAACAUAGAACCUCACUAGUUAGCCAUGCUUACAUGCCCAGGGUAUGGCCAUGACAGUAAAGAAAGACAGUGUAAGGGGAUAUGAAGGUGUUGAACGGCUGUAGUCCUUGAUAAGGAAAAUGCUGAGAAAAAAAGGAAGGAAAAAGAACCUACAGGAAAGGUGCUAACGGUGGCUCAGAUCAUCUGCUUUGCCAUCAUUCAGACUGAACUCUGGUUCCAGGCUACCACUCACUACUGACAUAUUUGUCCUUGAAGAAAUUGCACAACCUUUCAGAGCUUCAGUGUUUUUCACGGUCAAAUGGAUAUAUAUAGAGAGAACAGUGACUUCUGCAUAGAAUUCUUAUGGGGAUGAAAGGAUACACAGCAUGUAAGUGAUUGGCACAAUCCCAGGCACGUGGUGUAUACUCAAUAGUGACAAUGAGUGGAACAUCAGUGGGCAUUUCCUCUUUCACAAGCAGCAAAUAACGGUCAGCCAACACUCUCAGGUGAUGUUGACAUUUCUUGCCAAAGCCAAGAAAUUGGUCCCAAAGAGCAUGACCAUAACCCAGGAGUAGGUGUGUUCAAGGACUUGCCUUUUCCCACCCUGUCUCUUUAACCUUGAAAUCAGCCUGGAUUAAGGCAUCUUGGUGACUCAUAAUAACCUUUCUACUCUGGUCAGAGAAAGCAUUAAAAGCCAUUUUGUAGUGUAAUCUUCCCAGUCAGAAUGCCAGACUGGCCCCUGGCCUUGAGCCUAAACCAUGGCCAAUAAUCCACUUCAAUCCCUUAGAAGUCCUAAUAGAAGCAUCAGUGACUGUGAAAGUUUGGGGGAGGGGCAACUUUUUGAGCCUUAAAUAUGUACAAAUAAAUUAGGUGGCUAUUUAACAUUGAGCAUGUUAACCUUUAUUUGUAAUACAACUGAUAGAAUGUGUGCAUUAUUUAAAAUGUCCUGUGGUUUCAGUUUUGUAAGAUUUAUGAGAUGAUGGCUGUGUUUGCACUUGAAUUAAAUUAGAAAGAUGGGUCAUCAUCUAUCAUGUAAGCCUAAUUUAAGCGGGAAGGCCAUCUUUUCCUGUUUUUUAUAUCAAGUAUGCCUUUAUCCCUCAAGGGUACACCAAGGUCACCAAACUGCCUUCACUCAGCCAGGACCUUUCUUCUUUAGGUAGGUCUAGUUGCAAGGCUGCAGGACUUGAACUUCCUCAGGAAUGUCAGUUCUGCAGUGUACACUCAAAGCCUGGUUUUCAUACCCUAGAAAAUUCUAUGACUUUUCUAAUAUUUUUUUAAAAUGAAUUCCUUUUGUUCUUGAAUUAGCUGGAGUUGGCUUCUGUUGUUUUCUAUCAAAAAAACCUGGUACAUAUGUAUUUUCCAUAUAUCAUUUUUUAUAUAAAAUAUGGUUACUGUUAGCUAUGUUCACCCUAAAUAAGACAUUAAAAUGUUAAAAAAAAUAGUCUAAAUAUCUUUCUUGAAAAUAACUACAAAGAAUUAUUGCCCAUUUCAAAUGAAAUUAGAACAUUUGCUUUUAUUUCCACUAAUCUUAUUUUUCUUUCAAAGAAAUUUAAAGGAAUUAAGUAAGUAAGAAUAAUGUCCUUGAGUGGUUUGAAAGGUGGUUGAUUUUUAAAAUAGUUGUAAAGUAUUUUGGUAAUAAAAAUAUUAGAAUACACUGGACUGGAUAUUGACAUCUUACUUAAUGAAAGAGGUAUUAUAUCUGAAAAAUUUUAUAAAGUUUUGAACUUCUAGAAAAAAAGGAGAUAUAAAAUAUAAGAUAUUCUUUUUUUUUCCCCUCCAGUAUGGGGAUUGAAUCCAGGGUGUCACAAAUGCUAAGUAAUUGCUCUACCAUUAUGCUACAUCCCGAGUCUUUUUUAUUUUAUUUUAAAUAGGGUCUCACUAAUUUGCUGAGGCUGGUCUCAAACCUGUGCCUCUGUUUCUAGAGUAGCUAGGAUUUUAGGUGUGCACCACCACACCUGGCUAAGAUAUCCUUAUCUAAGCAUGUAUAGAGGACUUAGACACAAGUCCACAUUUAGUUUUAAGAGACAGCAGAAAAGACAAUCUGUGUUCUGGAGGGAAAAGAACUAGCUGAUCACUGGUGAUUCUACUAUAUGGACCAGAGAAGAGUGAACCUAGGGGUUGCUGUUAUAUGGGUUUCUUCUAUAUUAAAAAAAAAUAGAAGUACACGAGUGAGGUCAGCUGGGUUGGAUUCCCAGAAUGUGUGUGUAUGUGCGCGCACACACACACAAAUAGCAUUGUCAUUUUAAGUAAAUGCAUAAAUAUUUACAUUUUAAAUUCUUUAAUCAAGGUAGUUUUAGUAUCAGCUUUGUGUUUCACAUGAAGUAAAUAUUUUUCUCACUUUGUAAGAUCUCUGUUUUGAAGAGAAAAUUUAAAAAGAACUAAGGAGGAAAUACAUGGAGAUACCCAGUCACAGAGGACAGCAGUAAAUCUGGCAGCUGUCAAAGAUUGCAGAAUUGGUGAUUAGUGCUUAGUAGGCAGAUGAUGAUGUAUCAGGCCAUGUGAGAAAAAUGGUUAAUUAAUAUUUAAUUAGCAUAAAGAAUAGUGGGCAUUUUCUCCCUGUGUCCCUGUUUUCCAUUUAUACAAUGAAGACUGAAUAAUUGUUUUCUCAAUUUAGUGCGGAAAAAAAUGUAAACUCAUGCUCUAAUGACUUCACAUACUUGUGAUCAAACAUGAAACAAAGUCAGGCAUGAUGGUGCAUGCCUAUGAUCCCAGCUGCUCAGGAGGCUGAGGCAGGAGGAUUGCAAGUUUGAGGUCAAUCUGGGCAAUUUAGUGAGACCUUGUCUCAAAAUAAAAAAAUAAAAAGGGCUAAGGAUGUAACUCAGUGUGAGAGCGCCCUUGGUUCACUCCCUAGGGUAAAAGAAAAGAAACCAAAAUAAAUCCAUGGUUCCAAGUGUUGUAAAGUUUCCAAGGAACUUUGCUUAAUUUUUCACACUUUUUCCUAAGGUACACGGGUUACAUUAUGUUUUCUUCUCUAUGUUAGCUACAACUGAAGUCCUUGGAAUUUAGUAUGUUAUAAUGAUGAGUUUAAAAGAAUAAAAAGUAGGAUUUGUGCUUUCAGAGAGCACAAAGUCCUGCGAGUCUAUCUCCCUGAACACUGAACUUUGUCUAGUUCUCUCUCUUCCCUGCAAUUCAUCUCCCACAGUCCAUGUCUUGUUUCUGAUCUCCUUUCAAUUUUAGGCACUUUGCAUUGCUAUUUAACUGCUAUAGGAGGGCCUGGCUAUUCUCUCUUAUUUAUUGAAAAAAUGCUUGAUAAACACACUGGCUGUCAGACACUGUGAGAGGCACUGCAGAUAUAGGAGUGAACAAAACAAUCCUACCUCUAUUCUCCCCUCCACAGGGCAUGAUAUACUGUAAACAAAGAAAAUCAUGAAGUAGUGUUUAGUGUUGCAAAGGCAAAAGCAAAGACAAGGACAUUGGGUAGCUAUGGAAGAAUAACAGACAGUACCUAAAUUAGAUGGGAGGGAGGAGGCAGAGUGUGAGGGGAGGUCUCUGGGGAAGCGACAGUAACAGAAGAUGGAAGGAUGGAAAGGAAUUAGGAGGCCAAGCAGAGGAUGGCAAGAAGAGUAUUCCAAGCAACAGUAUGUGCUAAAGUCCUGAGGUAGAAAGGAAGGAGCUCAGUAAAUUUGAGGAACUGAAAGAAGCUGGGGAGAGGAAAAGGAAAGUGGAGAAGCCCCUUCUUAUCAAUUACCUGAACUCCUUAAGCCAAAGACUUCAUUUUAUUUUUGUGUAUCACCCCUCAUUCCCGCACUGUGCUGAGUGCAGUAUUUAAUACAGACUAGAUACAGUAAAAUGCUGAAGGGUUUGGCUUCCUAUUGACUGAUGAUUUUACUCUAAUAUCAAAAGUGCCUGAGAAAUCAGAAUCCAGUAUGAAAUAAGGCAUGAUCAAGCAGAGCAGUCUCAAGACUUGUAGAUCCCAGGCAUUCUUACUUUCAGAAGCUCCACUACCCUCACAGUAAAAACAUAUUUAAAUGAAUCCAUGGUUUACAUCAAGCAUUUAUGUCACUACCUAAGAUUAGAGUUGGGUUGCAGUUAACUAAUUUUCUUAAUGUUAAAUCUUAGACAUUUAAAAAUAUACAAUUUUAAUUUCACAAUUUUUUAAAAUAAUUUUUCAGCUCUCCAACAUUUUCACAGAAAGCACUGUAAGUCCUGAGCACUUUGCCCAACCAGACAAAGUCCAGUAAUCCAGGGCUAACCCGAAUAGAAUAGGAUAAAAUGCAAGUGCUGGAGGGAUUCAGGGAAACACCCUGAAUCAGGAAACAAGAAGUAAGAGGAGGGGCUGGGGAUAUAGCUCAAUAGGCAGAGUGCUUGCCUCACAGGCACAAGGCCCUGGGUUCCAUCCCCAGCACAACAACAACAGCAACAAAAAGAAGUAAGAGGAUACUGCUACUCUGGCCUAAUUUGGACCUUAAAUUUCCUCAAAGCAAAAACUAGUAGUCUAAUUUAAAGCCCUAGGAACCUUGGCAAAAAGCAUGCAUGUCUCUUUAAAGUUUGUAGUACCCAAGAAUGGACAUGGUCGGAUUUUACAAAGGUCAGGCUGCCAUGAUGAAAGGCUCAAACUACCUAGUUCUUACAGGGCUGGAGGCUGGGAAGCCCAAGAUCAAUGUGCUGGAGAGGCAAGUGUCAUUAAGGCCCCUUCUCUUGCCUUGUCUUUGGUGGGCAUCUCUCUGUGGGCUAAUGUGACCUAUAGUUUGCUGUAUGGGGUGUGGAGGAGCAAGCCCUCUGGUGCCUCUUCCUGUAAGGCCAUUAUAAUUACCUCCCAAAGGCUCACCUCCAAAUACCUCACAUGGGGGCCUGGACUUCAGCUUGUAAAUUUUCAGGGGUCACAACUCAGUUCACUGCAAAAAGGUACAUUUUUUUUUUUUUAAAGAGGGACAAUUUUUUUCUGGUCAGCCAUCGUAAUAGAUAAAGCCAAGAAUGAAUUAUUACUUGAACAAACAAGCACAAUUCUUUUUUUUUUUUUAAGGUUAUUGCAGAAAAGAGUAAGACUUCAGAUACGAAGACCUGGGCUGAAUCUUAUUUACUAACCACAAAGGCUAGGAAGUAACUUGGAUAAGUUAUUUAAAAUCUCUGUCCUCAGUUUUCAUAGCUGUAAAACGGGAUUAAAAAUGUUUGCAUCAUAAAGCUGUUGUAAGCAUUGAUGAGAUAGAGGUAUCUGACCCAGAGAAGUAUCUGACCCAGAGAAAGAGUCUUUGAAACAUUUCCCUGGAACAUGGAAAGUACAGACAUGUUGCUCAGGAGCAGGGGUUAUGGUGAUAAUAGGUGAUGAAGAAAAGCUGUAUCAUACUGAAACACUGUUUCCAAGAGUUUUGCUCUCACUGGAUACCUUCCAACUCUGAAAUCCCAUAAAUCCACAUAUCUGUGAGGGAACAAAUCUGUUCAUUUCAUCUGCUUAGUUGUUACUAUCAAUUUGUGCUCAACACUCUUACAAAUGUUGUCUUACUCAGUCUUGACUCCAGCUUGACAACCUAACAACAACAGCAAUAAUAAGAACUAUUAUUAUUUCCAUUUUACAGAUGGACAAACUGAAGUUCCCAGAUUUGGAUAACAGCCUAAGGUCAUACCUCUGGAGAAUGACAGAGGCUGGAUUUACACCCAGGACUUCUUGGCUUCCACAAAUAGCAAUGUCCCUGUUCCAAUGACUGUGAAGUAGAGUGUUCUUCAUUAGAAUAUCAUCAAGAAGACGCUGAAGCACAAAUCAAGUAGGGGUAUUAUAAGAGAAUGACUUGCUUUGAAUAGCUGACUCCUACCCUGGACAAAUCCCAACCAGGAUCCCAAUAGAAUUUAUAUAAUGAGAAGACUAUUGGUAUUUUUUCAGGGACUAUAGAGCAAGGGAGAGAUGCCAGAGGCUAUGGAUGGGCACACACUGUUCCAGUUUGUGAAAAGGGGAAGAAAGUUGAUUCUGCAAACUAGAGACAAAGUCCUGCACAAAGUUCUCAAAGGGCAACGUAUGAACAUUAAAAAAAGGGAAGUAAUUGCUGUUACCCAUGCAAGUUUCCACUCAGAAGAGAUCAUUAGAGCUGUGGUUCAUUUCCCUUUGUGAUAAGGCAAGACUGGUAUGGUUUUAUUUAGACUACAUAUUUUGCUCCUUAUAAUAAAUGAGUUGGAACUGUGUAAACAGCUAGAGUCAUAAGAAGUAGAAAAAUUAAUUAUUUUUCAAAAUUCAUGAAGAAGUUCAAAUGUCACUGUUUCUAUUAAAAUAUAAUUCUUUGAUUAUUGAUUUUUCAAACUUGAGAUAAUUAUAGAUUUAUAUACAAUUACAAGAAAUAAUACAGAGAAAUAGCCUUUACACUUUACCCACAUUCCCCCUGUGGUUAGAUUUUGUAAAACUAUAGUGUAAUAGAACAAAUCAGAUAUUG
rnacentral:lncRNA from 1 species